CUUCCGUGCCAACCCCCUGAGACCAACUUUCGCAGCCAGUCCAACUUUGUCAUCUAAUGCUCGUCGACCGUGAUUGUGAUGAACUAAGUUCAAAGCUGAGAUACUUGCUUGCAUGUCUUUCUACUUUUUGCGUUAGUUGUGCUGCGAGUUACUAACUUAGCCUAAGCUAGUCAAGAUUCAAAUAUCAAAGCUAUAGGAAUGUAGGUUCUGUUUUCGCAUUCGCGUUUUAGCCGUUGGAGGGAUUUUUUACCAGAAAAGGAGUUAGAUGACGACGCAAGUAAAAGAACACACACUCGACCAAAAGUUGAACAUAUUUGCUAAAAAGCUUAGAGCGAGUCUCGCACCUGGACACUGAUAACCACGCCAUGUUAAUGCAAGAAAUGCUUCAAACAUUUCGUCUAGUACACGAUUUUGUUUCAAAAAUUGAACAAGAAGCUUAUAGACUCGAAAAUUACAAUUCAGGAGGCCAAUCAAAGAGCAAUUCAGAGUUACUGAAAGCAGAGCAAGACCUGGAUGAGCAGCUGAUGUUGGGAUGUGAAGUUAUGAGCAAAUAAAAAAAACUGCUUACGCUAGAGAAGGCCACGAAUCUAGAGGCUCAAGAGCUGUACAGGCCAUUCAACUUUAAUUUCGAAAAAAAUCGUAAAUUUUAAAAUUGGAAUUGUCAUUCGUUACUUAGUUAAGUGCCUAUAAGUUUAAGUUUCGAGAGGGUGAGAACUGAUGCAUAGAAUACUUACGACAAAACGAGAAAAACACUAAAAAAUGGCCCGAAACUGUAUGUAGCAAGGUGGAGAAAUGGUGCUGGGUCCACACCAUUUCGCGGGGAAAUCAAAGCCGAGAAAUUUCAAAAAUUACAAUUACAAUAAAGAAAUGUUGACUCUAAUAAGUACCAGCACAAAACUGAGGGGGGAGCGUGUAUUAGUGAGAGGGGAGAAUGUGUUUAUAGAUCUCUCGGCGUGGCCUCAACUUAUAUAAUAUUUCAAUGCGAACUGUCUGAGCUGAACACUCUCCCCCCUCAGUUUUGUACUGAUGCUCAUUAAAGCCAAAAUUUUUUUACUCUAAUUGUAAUUUUUGAAUUUUCUCGGCUUUGAUUUCCCCGCAAAAUGGUGUGGACCCGGCACGAUUUCUCCACCUUGUUACUUACAAGAAAAUGUAUCUCUAUUUAUCAUACUCUGGUCCACCGAUUCCUCGCACUAAAAUUACCAGUGCUUCUCUUGACUAUCUUAGCAAUGGCAAUAAUGUCUAAA
rnacentral:lncRNA from 1 species